GCCGGGCAGGGUGGGUCAUGCCUGUAAUCCCAGCAGCUUGGGAGGCUAAGACAGGAGGAUCAGGAGUUCAAAGCCAGCCUCAGAAAUUUAGCAAGGCUCUAAGUAACUCAGUGAGACCCUGUCUCUA
rnacentral:sRNA from 1 species